rnacentral:rRNA from 1 species
GAUGAACGCUAGCGAUAGGCCUUACACAUGCAAGUCGAGGGGCAGCGCGGGAAAGUAGCAAUACCUUCUUGGCGGCGACCGGCGGAUGGGUGAGUAACGCGUAUGCAACCUACCUACUACUUUGGGAUAGCUCGUUGAAAGACGAAUUAAUACCUUAUAAUACAGGGACUCCGCAUGGAGAUAUUUGUUAAAGAUUCAUUGGUAGUAGAUGGGCAUGCGUUCCAUUAGUUAGUUGGUGAGGUAACGGCUCACCAAGACAACGAUGGAUAGCUGGUCUGAGAGGAUGAUCAGCCAGACUGGGACUGAGACACGGCCCAG